CACCGCGGUUAUACGGGAGACCCAAGUUGACAGAUACUCGGCGUAAAGCGUGGUUAAGAUUGAUUUCCUCUAAAGUCGAACUCCUACAGAGCUGUUAUACGCCUCCGAAGGUAAGAAGCCCACCCACGAAAGUGACUUUACUACAGCUGAACCCACGAAAGCUAUGGCA
rnacentral:rRNA from 1 species